AUUGUUGUCCAAGUGGGACUGAGAGUUCCUUUCCACUUUGUCUGCAGGGUCUUCAAAGGCGUCCUUAGAAAAAGAUUAAUUCCAGUGUUUCUUAUGCAUGAUCAUUUGAUUUUAUUCCCCUAUGCCCAAGCGUUAAGAUGUUUUUUAUUUUUUUUUCCUAUUGGAUCAAGUAGGCUAUGUCCCAGUGUAUAAAUCUCACUUAUUACACAUAAAUAAACUUAAAAUAUGAUUGAAAUCUCUAUAUGUGCUUUCCACUGCGUCAGACGGAAGUUUGGAGACAGAAGUGGUUGAACACAGAAAAACUGAGAAAGCAGUACUGGAAUCCCACAAGCCCCACACCACUUUCUGAUGCCGUGAACGUUUUUCCUGGUGUGGUGCAUCUGCCUCAGUCAUAGAAGCAGUGUUGGUAAUCAGCAUCGUGGAGGCGGCGUCGGUGGUCAGCGUCGUGGAGGCCAGGAAGAGGGGGCUUCAGAGGUGAAGGCCCUGCCUGAGAGCACAGGACUGCUAAGUCUGGGCAGAUGGAAGCAGGAUGAGCCCACGGGACCUUUGCAUCUAACCACUGCACGAAGCCCGGCCCUCCAAGAGUGGUGACUUGGGGAGACACCCCAGUGUGGUAGACCCCAUGACAGAACCAGAGGAGAGUGGGAAACACCAUGUUUGCCAGCCAUGAGGAGCCAUCCAGAGAAUAAUGGCGGCUCCCCAGGACAGAGACGUGCACACUGGAGCCGCCGGGCACCGUGAGCUCUGCUUUCGAGAGUGCUUGACAUCUGGUCGCAGGGUGAUUGUAUUUUCUGUUACUCUUUUUAUUCAGUGUAAGGUUUUCUUCUCCUUUUUAUAGUCCUCUACUGAGUCCCUGGUUAUCCUUGACUUAGAGCAAUUCCAUAUCACAUAGAUCUCCAAAUUCCCCAGACUAGAAAAUGUGCUUUUGAACAAAUUGUGUGGCUUUACUAGAGCAUGAUAAUUGGCAAAAAGAAAACUUGGAAGACUCAGGGCCCAAAAGCCUGACAAUCACAAAUCAAUCUCCAUAGUUUUUGUCCACCCAUUGUGGCAAAGGGAGAAUCUGAACUGCGGUCUUGAAACCAGUGGCUGAUGUGAAGCCCCUUGGGACGCAGUGGUGAGGGGCUCCUGCGUCAGAGUCAUCUGGCUGCACUUCCGGUGCUACAUGACCUUAGGGGAGUCACCAGGACUCCCCAAAUAACGCCAACACCUCCAGCACGGAAGAGGGGGUGUUGGUAGUGACUACAGCAUGAUGACUAGUGGCACCAAACACUUUGCCACGCGGAAUGAGCAGGGCAGUCCGUGGACACCCACGUGGUGUGGUAUGUUCUUGAAUGAGCCCAGAUCAUUGGUCCCCCCCCAUCCACAGAGCAUUCACACAUCAGAUCUUCUUACACGAUUCACCCACACUGGAACAGAGGAGGCUGCUGUAUUAUUUUUGCUUGAAAGUGAUGAUAGUGAUGGAAGUUGUGAGACCUUGGGUCUGGUCUUAGUUUAAAAGGAUUUAAGCAAGAGACACACAGCAAAGGAGACGCAGCGUGAAGUAAUUUUUUGCAAAGGAAAAAUAAUAUUUUUACAGUUAGGUGCAGAAUAAGACAGGACAGCUUGGGAGAGAGAGGAUUCAGGGUGGGUGCUCUCCAAGGUGAGACAGCAGAGAGCAGCAGGAGGGAGGCUCCCUCUGUGGGAGUCUUCCACGAUUACCCAUGAGGGGGUGGGAGGAGGCGCUGCUUGGGGCAUGUUCUGGGUGCUCCUCUGGAUGCACGCAUGGUAGUUGUCCGUGCUUGCUCACACGUCACAUGUCUCAGGGUCUUGUAUCUCCACCCAUGGUUUGCUUUUUAUGAUUAUAAAGAGCAAAGGGUCAGUUUGAGGACGGUAAAAUCAAAGUGCACAUGCUCUCUGCAGGGGAAAUUCCCUACUGAAGGUAGCUUUGCUUGAGGGAGCUCAGUGACAAUGUCAAUGCUGAGGCUUGCUGUGUUGAUUUUACAGUCACCACGUACACCGUACACCACUGUCCACCAAUGUCCACCACCACUGUGGACCACCCAAGGACACGGCGACUUCCUUGACUACCUAUCCUGACUCAGUGAUUGGUAUUUAAUUUAAAUUUUGGAACAUUUUGAAUUUAGUUUUUAUCAGGGUUCUGCUUCUAUCCAGUGCUGACACUUGUGGCAAACCCCGGUGGCAUAGAAGCCUUGGUUCUCACAUGGAUAUGUCACUCCCUUCUGACAUAUUGGCACCUGAGCAUGACUUCUGCCUACAGAGGUAGGAGCAUUGCAGCAGGCAGAGGCCGGCUGCACUGGUGGCUUCAGCGGGGACAGGAGAGGACUCAGGAGUGGCCCCAGGGAUCACCCACAAGCACAUAUAAAAUGGCUUUCAGGACUUCCAGCAACAGUCCAGGGAGGGGAUGCUUUAUACUGGGAACUAGAACAAGAGAAGUUAUCGCUAUGUACUGUUUACAUACAGCUUUACAACAGGCUCUACUGGCCUGGAGAAAAAGGAUAGAAAAGCAAACAUACUCAUUCAUUAUUACUUAAGAACAAUUCAUUCAUCGAAUCCAAAAUAUUCACAGAGCAGCAGCUGUGACAAAGCUGAUCUGGGUGUCCCUGUUAAACGGAAAAUCACAUAUAUAAGAAAGCUUAAUUUAUGGAUAUAGAAAAAGAGUGAGGGAUUUUGUCAAAUUUUAAAACAUGACUAACAAGUGAAGAGUUUAAAAAUACCAUUAUUCUUGAACAAAAUACUACACACCUAAGUAACAAACACGGGCGGUCAUUGCUUGAUAUAUAAGCGUUUCUGUGUUAGCAGAUGACUGCGUCAUACUUUUUGUUUGAUGGUCAGAAGUGUGUGAAACGGGCACGUGCUGAUUCUCUAUUUUGAGGAGGUUUGUGUAAUUUGUGUUGUCAUGUUGCUCUGAAGCCCUCUGAGAUGAGCCUGGGAGGUGUUGCCUUGGUGCACAGAGACAUGUCACAGUGUAGACUGUGGCCCUCCCACGUUGAUUCAGGGGUGCUGCGGCAGGCGUGUGGAGGGGACCCCACGCAGGAGCACCUCCUCAUCCCUGAGGAGCUGGGGGACUCCUGGCAGAUGCAGCCCCACCAAGCUGCCCUGGGGCCCCACAGUGCCCGGUGUCCGGCUUCAGACAGACAAGCAGCUGUCCUAUCGCUUCCUCUUAUUUUUAAGCCACUGCUUGAAUGCUUCGUACUCAUAUAAAGGAUCUCUGACAUUGCUUUUCAGAAUCGAGGAAUUUCUUCAUAUCCUAUGGCUUAGAUUUUGCCAGAUCAGAGGAAAAUUGUGGCCACCCUGGGCAGACCUAUUCCUGGAAAUGGCCUUUGCCAGUGGCGAGAUCUCUAAUCCACAGGCAUUCCGGCUGCCAAAUUCCUGGCCUUUGAAGGCUGCAGCUGGGGAAAAGCCACUCUGCAUCAGUUCAUGUUUCUUUUUCAAACUUUCCCCUUCUAUUAUUUCACAACCAAACUCUGCCAGGGCCUGGCUUUUAGUUAUUAAAGGGCCAAGCAUCAUUUUUUUCCAAUGCUUUUAAAAAGGAGGGGAAGGGUUUCCCAGAGAUACGUGGUGCCUUCCCCGUGCACACAGAUGCUCCAGAAUCACAGCCGCCUUCUAUGAACUCUCGUGCAGGGCCUCAUCUUCCAUGGUUAAUUUAGCAAUAGGGAUUGUGUGCUUCAAAGCGAUACCUCAUUCCUAGGUAGAAAUUUAUUUAACUUCAAAAACCUUUAUUGUUGAAUAUAUUAAGAACUACGUCUUAGUGAUGAUGAUAUGAGAAAUUCAUCUAUCAAAACAUCACUAGAGGGCCGGGCGUGGUGGUUCACGCCUAUAAUCCCAGCACUUUGGGAGGCCGAGGCAGGUGGAUCACUUGAGGUCAGGGGUUCAAGACCAGCCUGACCAACAUGAUGAAACCCUGCAUCUACUAAAAAUACAAAAAUUAGCCGGGCAUGGUGGUGGGCGCCUGUAAUCCCAGCUACUUGGGAGGCUGAGCCAGGAGAAUUGCUUGAAUCUGGGAGGCAGAGGUUGCAGUGAGCCGAGAUCACACCACUGCACUCCAGCCUGGGCAUCAAGAGUAAAACUCAGUCUGGAAAAAAAAAAUCACUAGGCACCCCCAUGAUUAUGUACAAUUCUUUCUUGUAAAUUAAUAAAAUACUUUUUUAAAAAUGAGGAUUAUAGUUAAGAGCAUUACAUUAAAAAAGAAAUGUCUAUUUAAUUAUGAAAACUGAGAUAAUGAGGUAGAGAGUGGUUUUUUUGUUUUGUUUUUUUGUUUUUUUGAGAUGGAUUCUUGCUCUGUUGCUCAGGCUGAAGUGCAGUGGUGUGGACUCGGCUCACUGCAACCUCUGUCUCCCAGGUUCAAGCAUUUCUCCUGCCUCAGCC
rnacentral:lncRNA from 1 species